GUUAGAACGCUCGUAGUCGGAUUUCGGGGCGGGCCGACCGGUCUGCCGAUGGGUACGUACUGGUCGGCGCGUCCUUCCUCCUGGAGACCGUGCCUACUCUUAACUGAGCGGGGGCGGGAGACAGGACUUUUACUUUGAAAAAAUCAGAGUGUUUCAAGCAGGCAGCUCGCUCUUGCAUGGAUUAGCAUGGGAUAAUGAAAUAGGACUUUGGUGCUAUUUUGUUGGUUUCGAACACCGAAGUAAUGAUGAGAAGGGACAGUCAGGGGCACUCGUAUUCCGCCGAGAGAGGUGAAAUUCUCAGACCAGCGGAAGACGAACCACUGCGAAAGCAUUUGCCAGGGAUGUUUUCACUGAUCAAGAACGAAAGUUAGGGGAUCGAAGACGAUCAGAUACCGUCGUAGUCUUAACCAUAAACCAUGCCGACUAGGGAUUGGAGGAUGUUCACUGAUUGACUCCUUCAGCACCUUACGGGAAACUAAAGUCUUUGGGUUCCGGGGGGAGUAUGGUCGCAAGGCUGAAACUUAAAGGAAUUGACGGAAGGGCACCACCAGGUGUGGAGCCUGCGGCUUAAUUUGACUCAACACGGGGAAACUUACCAGGUCCAGACAUUGUGAGGAUUGACAGAUUGAGAGCUCUUUCUUGAUUCGAUGGGUGGUGGUGCAUGGCCGUUCUUAGUUGGUGGAGUGAUUUGUCUGGUUAAU
rnacentral:rRNA from 1 species